rnacentral:rRNA from 1 species
UACAGAGGGUGCGAGCGUUGUUCGGAUUUACUGGGCGUAAAGGGCGCGUAGGCGGCCUAUCAAGUCAGAUGUGAAAGCCCACGGCUCAACCGUGGAAGUGCAUCUGAAACUGGCAGGCUUGAGUACUGGAGGGGAGUGUGGAAUUCCCGGUGUAGAGGUGAAAUUCGUAGAUAUCGGGAGGAAUACCGGUGGCGAAGGCGACACUCUGGACAGAUACUGACGCUGAGGCGCGAAAGCGUGGGGAGCAAACAGG